rnacentral:rRNA from 1 species
AACGAACGCUGGCGGCAGGCCUAACACAUGCCAGUCGAGCGAGAUCUUCGGGUCUAGCGGCGGACGGGUGAGUAACGCGUGGGAAUAUGCCUCUUGGUACGGAAUAGCCUCGGGAAACUGGGAGUAAUACCGUAUGUGCCCUUUGGGGGAAAGAUUUAUCGCCAAGAGAUUAGCCCGCGUUGGAUUAGGUAGUUGGUGGGGUAAUGGCCUACCAAGCCGACGAUCCAUAGCUGGUUUGAGAGGAUGAUCAGCCACACUGGGACUGAGACACGGCCCAGACUCCUACGGGAGGCAGCAGUGGGGAAUCUUUGACAAUGGGGGCAACCCUGAUCUAGCCAUGCCGCGUGAGUGAUGAAGGCCUUAGGGUUGUAAAGCUCUUUCAGCUGGGAAGAUAAUGACGGUACCAGCAGAAGAAGCCCCGGCUAACUCCGUG